GCCAGGACAGCCUGAGGCAGCAAUGCGCCCAAGUCAUAGCUGAGUCCCAGUCAAAGCUACAGCACAUGAGCCUGCCAUCGACGGAACUAAUGCGGUAAGUCUGGUAACUGGCCAACCCCGCCCCCCACCCGACCACGCGGUCGCGGGGAAGUGGAUGCUCAGGGCUGCCGCACUGCAUGGGAAGUUAACCCCCCCACAAACGCCGCGGGAGCAGUUAUACCGCGAGCAGAAGUGUGGGUCGGGUGGGGGGUGGAAGCAGAGGAUCUCGCUCGGCGGACGGAGCCAGCAGGCAGGAUCCAACACGUGGGACUGCCGGAGUCUUACUCCGGGGUCCCGGCGGUCGGCAACUGAAAGCGGUCGGAGAGCCGCUUUCUGGCAGCCGCAAAACAGACGAAAAGUGAAAGGGCAAAGCCACCCGGAAGAGAUAGAGGGAGGGAGGGGACCGAGAAAAAAACCCGAGAAAAAAACCAUCCCCAGACAGGGGGGCCCAAAACAGGAAAAUGCAGAAAAGUCAUAAGAGAAAAUACAUCCAUACAUACAGCAAAAAAGUAGGGACAGAAAAAUGCAAUCUAAAUAAAUCAUAACGGCAGUAGGAAGGUAAACACAUUCUAAACAAAUAAAUCCCUGCAGCCAUAAGAAGGUAGAUGCAGAAAAACAGAGUAAAUCAAUCAAUCAAGCAAUCACUACAGCACUAAGCAGGUAGGUGUAGAAAUACAGAAAAUUUUAUCAUACUUACCGUAAUUUUCUUUUCCUGGCUAUUAUUCAUGGCAGCAUCACUUAUGGGUAGCUCCGCCCUAAUCAGGAACAGGACAGGAUAAAAUCAAUUAAUAUGGACCAGACUGGGUAUAAAAGGUCCCUCCUCCUUCUAUCCCACAGUCUAGUUCCAAAGCUAAAUCUGAUAACCAGGGGGGGUUGCUGAUGCUGCCAUGAAUAAUAGCCAGGAAAAGAAAAUUACGGCAAGUAUGAUAAAAUUUUCUGUAUUCCUGGCUAAUCAUGGCAGCAUCACUUAUGGGUAAUACCCAAGCUUCACCAUAGGGUGGGAAAUUCAAAAACAAAAAACUCCAAACCAUAUAAUGCUGAAAAAAGGUUUAAUUUAGAUAGAUUCCACAGAGGACAGAACACCUCUACCAAAAGCCGUAGAGGAAGAUGCCAAAUCCAUCUUGUAAUGUUUGAAGAAAGUGAGAGGAGAAGACCAUGUAGCUGCCUUACAGAUGUCGUCAGAUGGAACCUCUGCCCAAUUAGCCCAUGAAGUUGCUAAAGCCCUUGUAGAGUGUGACUUGAUCCUACUAGGAGGGACAAGGUCUUUCAACUGAUAAGCCUUGAUUAUAGUAUUGGAGAUCCAACGUCUCAAAGUGGAAGUAGAUGCUGCCUCCCCUCUUCUGGGACCAAUCGGCAAAACAAACAGCUGUUGAGACUUCCGAAAAUGAGUAGAAACCUCUAAAUACUUGAGUAGGCACUGCCUGACAUCCAAUUGAUGAAGUUUCACUUCUUCUGGAGUGGAAGGAGAUGGAUAAAAGGAAGGAAUAACAAUCUCUUGUAAGAUGUGGAAAUUUGAGACAACUUUCGGCAGAAACUCUUGUCUGGGUCUCAAGAUCACCCUGUCGUGGAAUACUUGAAAGUGAUUUUCAUCGCAGGAAAGAGCAUGAAUUUCUGACAUACGCUUUGCAGUAGUAACAGCCACCAGAAACAAGGUCUUAUAUGUUAAUAAGACAAUACCCAGCUCAUCUAAUGGAGCAAAGGGGUUUUCAGCCAACACCUCCAGUACCAUAGGUAAAUUCCACGGAGGAGAGUAGUUCCUAUUUGGAGGUCUUAUACGGAUGGUUGCUUUAAAGAAUCUAGCAAUUAGAGGAUCCGAAGUCCAAGACUUGUUGCAGAGAGCAGAUAAAGCCGAUGAUUGGACUUUUAGAGUACUGAGACUCAGCCCUUUCUCUAGACCUGUAUGAAGAAAUUGCAGAAUGUUAAUGUUAGAUGGCUGAAGAAAAUCCACAUUAUUCUCUAGAGACCAGGAACGAAAAACUUCCCAAAUCUUAUGAUAGCAGGAAGAAGUAGAUGCUUUUCUGGAUUUUAGGAGAGUAGUUACCACAGUUUCUGGGAUCCCUUGAGCUAGCAAUCUCUCCUUUUCAAGAGCCAUGCCCCCAAUUUCAGCUGGCUGGGGUUGGGAUGAACAGCUGGUCCCUGGAUUAAGAUGUUUGGUCUGACAGGAAGAGGCCAAGGAGGUUCCAGGCUCAUCUUGUUCAGCAGGGGAAACCAAGGUCUGCGAGGCCAGAUUGGGAUGAUGGCGAUGACUUUGAGACCUUCCUUCCAUAUUUUUCUCAGCAGUCGGUAAAUCAUUGGUAGGGGAGGGAAUGCGUACCCCAGAUCGAAUUCCCAUGGAAGAGACAGGGCAUCCUGUCCUUCUGCUCGAUGAUCCGCAUGUAGGGAGUAAAACCUCUUCACCUGAGUGUUGUUGUAUGAAGCCAUCAGGUCGAUCUGGGGUACUCCCCACCGAUGGGUGAUCAAUUGAAAUAAGUCUGGGUGCAGUUUCCAUUCUCCUUGGAGAAUCCUUGUCCUGCUGAGAUAGUCUGCCAAUAAAUUCUCUGACCCUGGAAGAUAAACCGCUUUUAAUCCUUGAAGAUGUAGUUGCGCAAACCUCAUUAUUGGUGACAAUUCUAUCAGUAGAGAAUAACUUCGAGUUCCUGCCUGAUGAUUUAUGUAGGAAGCCACAGCUCUGUUGUCUGUAUGUAUCCUGACCCAGGCAUCCCUUAAUAGAGGACGGAACCCUAUUAAUGCCUUGAGAACCGCUCUCAUUUCUCUCAAAUUCGAAUGGAGUUUUGACUCCUUCCAUGACCAAGUUCCUUGGAUCCAAGAGUUGUUCAGAUGUGCUCCCCAUCCCAGAAGGCUGGCAUCUGUAGUUACAGUAAUCCAGUCCGGCUCUUCCAGGGGAAAACCACAAAGGAGGUGUUUUUCUUUUGUCCACCAAUAUAGUUCUUUCGAAAUUCUCGGGAGUAACCAAAUCUUCUGAUCCCAAUUUCCUUGUUUUGCUCUGAACUGUAAGAGAAAAUGCCUCUGAAUGGGUCGCAUCCUCCACUGGGCCCAUUUCACUAGGCCUAUCGUGGAAGUAAGAGACCCUAACAGGCUCAUGAAAUCUCUUGCCGUGAUGAAAGAUUUUUGACGCAGACUUCUGAUCUUCUUCAUUAUUCGUUGUUUUCUGUCUGUAGACAGUGAUACCAGGCCAUUCCCUGAGUCUAUAUUUGCUCCUAGGAAAAUCAUCCUUUGAGAAGGCACUAAAGAACUCUUUUUGGGGUUUAUCAGCCAACCAUGAUCUUGAAGGUAUUUUAUGGUUAUAGACGUGUGGACAUUCACUAUCUGACUGGAAGGACCUAAGAUCAGAAAAUCGUCCAGAUAAUGAAAAAUCUCGAUGUUCCUUGUCCUUAUAAAGGCCACCAGAGACACUAGAAUCUUCGUGAAUGUUCUGGGCGCCAGACUUAAGCCGAAAGGAAGUCCCUUGAACUGAUAGUGAUUCCCCGCAAUCCAAAACCUUAGAAACCGGCGAUGACUGACAUGAAUAGGAAUCUGAUAGUAGGCGUCCUUGAGAUCUAUAGAAGUCAUCCAGGUCCCUGUCUUUAUAUUGGGCAGAAUUGUGGCAAUGGACUCCAUUUUGAAAGUUCUUGGAACCAAAUAAGUAUUCAGAACUUUCAGGUCCAGAAUUAGACGCCAUUUCCCCUGAGGUUUUGGGGCCAAAAAUAUCGUAGAGUAGUGGCCUCUGUAAUGUUCUCUGUAAGGGACUUUUUCUAUGACCUGAUUUUGAAGAAGUUGAGAAAUAAUUUCGUUUAGAGCCAUUUCUUUUCUUCCUCUUGCCACUCUUGAACGGGUAAAGGAGGUUUGAGAAGGGAAUUCUUUGAAUUCUAUUUUGUAUCCUUCCUUGAGGAUAGAAAGAACCCAAGAGUCUUGAAUGCUUUUGGCCCAAACCGGAUAAAAGAAGCGAAGUCUGCCUCCUAUAACAUCUGGCUGGGCCAGCAAACGUUCAGAAGUUUUUAUUAGCUGGUCUAGAUCCUCUUCCUCUAACUGGUUUUGAUGAAGAUGACUGGUAGCUUCUCCAGUUAGAAUUCCUGGAGAAUUCUCUUCCGGGUCUAUAUGACCUGGCGUCUCGAAAGGAUCGGUCUCUAAACUUUUUAUCCUUCCAGUAGGAAGCAUUAAAUCUUCUUUUCCCCUGGGGGAGAAAGGCUUUUCUUCCAUCUGCCGCUUUAUGGAUCGCAUCUUCCAGGACUUUACCAAAUAGAAGGUCCCCUUGAAAAGGAAGCGCACAUAGGGAGGCCUUAGAGGCGUAAUCUGCACCCCAAGAGUGAAGCCAUAAUGCUCUUCUCGAAGCAACUGACAGUGCCAUACUUUUGGCUACCAUUUUAGUAAUAUCCAGGGAAGCUUCAGAACAGAAUUCUGUGGCCAGCUUUAAAUCUUUAAUGCCCUCCAUCAGGUGUUCUCUACGGACUCCACCAGCAAUAUCCUCUUCUAGAUUAUCAACCCAUAUUUUAAGAGCUCUGGACAAGGUGGUAAGAGCAAUGGCUGGAUGUAAUGCUGACCCUAGGGCCAAGUAUGCCUUAAUUAGGUCAGCGUCCAAUCGCUUUUCCAUUGGCUCCCUUAAAUAUGCCAUUGAAUCUAUGGGAAGAGUUGUUCUUUUUGCCAUGUGGAUGACUGCGGCAUCAAUUUUUGGAACCGAAAUCCAUGACUUGCAGUCCUCAGGUGCAUACGGGUAUAAUCUGGGGACUUUGCUCUUUAAAGUCACCUUCUUCUCUGGUCUAUUCCAUUCUUCACCUAUUACCUCCUUUAUGGCCGAAUGAACUGGAAAAGUAGGCCUGUUAGGCUUCAGAUCUUCAAAAUAUCUAUCAGACUCCUUCUUCUCCCUGCUUUCUUCAGGAAUUCUUAAUGUGUCUCUGAUAAGAUGAACCAACUUAUCCACAGACCUGGAAUAUAACGAUUUUGAGUCAUAGUCAUCCUCUUCUUCCUCUGAAUAGUCUUCCAUCAUAUCAGAUUCUUCUUCUGAUUCCACAUAGCUUUCCACUCUGGGACGCUUGGGGAUAGCCAUUUUACUAGAGGAUUUAAAUCCUUCAGCAAUGGCUUCUGAAAUCCAUUUCUUCAAGUCAGCCUGUGGGGAACUUUUCUCAUCCCAGUCCUUCGCUGCUUCCGUAAGGCAAGAUCUGCACAAAUUUUUUCCCGGAGGAGCCACUUGGUUGCAGUUUGCACAUCUGUUGGAUUUUUCUCUAUAUUUUCUGGGAGAAUCCUCUUGAGAUUUUUCUGGGCUGAAAUUAAAGGCCAAUAUAUUAUAUAUUAUAGGCCUGCAAUGGCACUCUUUUUUCCCCCCUUAAAUCAAAUUCGACAUAUGCGGCUCACCUAUGUCUUCUAGAGCGAGAUCUUGAGGCAGAGGGAGAAGCCAUCUAGAAUAAAAUAUGCUUAUUGUAAAAGAAACCUUCAAGCAGCAAGAAAGAUUCAAUAAUAUCCAAAAAAAAACUUAAGAUUUACCUUUAAACCAGAUUCUGAACAAAAAAGGCAGCUUUCCUUAUUAACAGAAGUUCAUAGAAGAAGCCAGGAUCAAUUUUGAGUGGUUUUUAAAUUUUUCAUUUUUUGGCGCGAUAUACCUUUAAGCGCGCAAUUAUUCCGCGCAUGCGCAGAACACCCGCCGGACGCCGUCGGUACUGCGCAUGCGCCAGAAGCCGAAGAGAGAAGAGACAGACCGGAGGAAGCCCCUGCACCAUGCUGAUAUCCAGGGAAGCUUCAGUUUACACAAAAGACAGAUGCAGGUAAGCCAGGCACUUGUAAGCUGUCAGAAUAAACUCCAGAAUUUAAAACAAAAUGAAAACCAACGAAAAUUUUAUCAGAAAUAAGCACUUACCCUAGGCUCUCCCAAUAACUGACCUCAGAUCAGGGGGGUUAGAUGCUAUAAGGGGAUUUUUAAGGUAACAGCCGACCCCACAUCCACAGUUGAAACUUUUUCUCCCAUAAUAGUACAGAUGCUAAUCUGUACUAAACUCAGUUAGUCCUGCCCGUGCAGGCUGUUUACUGAGUUCUUCAGAUGAAGAGAGGCUGAACUUCAUCUGGAGGCCCAUGGUACACAUGGGAAGGUGGCCCAAAAUAAAAUAUCCUGUGUGUCCUGAAAGGACAGGAAAAAAGACUGUGGGAUAGAAGGAGGAGGGACCUUUUAUACCCAGUCUGGUCCAUAUUAAUUGAUUUUAUCCUGUCCUGUUCCUGAUUAGGGCGGAGCUACCCAUAAGUGAUGCUGCCAUGAUUAGCCAGGAAAUACAGAUUAGCUAAAUAAAUCAAUCAAUC